rnacentral:rRNA from 1 species
CUAAAUAGGCAAAUCCGUUUAGACAAUGCUAGGAUGUGAUGGGGAAGCCCUCCGGGGCGAAGUAGCUGAUUUCACACUGUCAAGAAAAGCUUCUAUCGAGUUUAAAGGCGCCCGUACCGUAAACCGACACAGGUGGGUGAGGAGAGUAUCCUAAGGCCAGCGAGAGAACUAUUGUUAAGGAACUCGGCAAAAUGACCCCGUAACUUAGGGAGAAGGGGUGCCUGUCUAUGACAGGCCGCAGAGAAUAGGCCCAAGCGACUGUUUACCAAAAACACAGGUUUCUGCUAAGUCGCAAGACGAUGUAUAGGAGCUGACGCCUGCCCGGUGCUGGAAGGUUAAGGGGAUCUGUUAGAGCAAUCGAAGCAGUGAACUUAAGCCCCAGUAAACGGCGGCCGUAACAAUAACGGUCCUAAGGUAGCGAAAUUCCCUGUCGGGUAAGUUCCGACCCGCACGAAAGGCGUAACGAUUUGGGCACUGUCUCAACAAUAGACUCGGUGAAAUUGUAAUCCCGGUGAAGAUGCCGGGUACCUGCGACAGGACGGAAAGACCCCAUGGGGCUUUACUGUAGCUUGACGUUGGGUCUUGGUACUACAUGUACAGGAUAGGUGGGAGACUAUGAAGCAUGGACGCCAGUCUGUGUGGAGUCAUCCUUGGGAUACCACCCUUGUAGUACUGGGAUCCUAACCAUAGGCCUUGAAUCAGGUCUUGGAACACCGUCAGGUGGGCAGUUUGACUGGGGCGGUCGCCUCCUAAAAAGUAACGGAGGCGCUCAAAGGUUUCCUCAGCACGGUCGGAAAUCGUGCGAAGAGUGUAAAGGCAAAAGGAAGCUUGAUUGCAAGACAUACAGGUCGAGCAAGGACGAAAGUCGGACUUAGUGAUCCGGUGGUACCGCAUGGAAGGGCCAUCGCUCAACGGAUAAAAGCUACCCUGGGGAUAACAGGCUUAUCUCCCCCAAGAGUCCACAUCGACGGGGAGGUUUGGCACCUCGAUGUCGGCUCAUCACAUCCUGGGGCUGUAGUAGGUCCCAAGGGUUGGGCCGUUCGCCCAUUAAAGAGGUACGCGAGCUGGGUUCAGAACGUCGUGAGACAGUUCGGUCCCUAUCCGUCGCAGGCGUAGGAAAUUUGAGAAGACCUGUCCUUAGUACGAGAAGACCGGGGUGGACGUACCUCUGGUGUACCAGUUGUUCUGCCAAGGGCAUGGCUGGGUAGCUAUGUACGGAAUGGAUAAGCGCUGAAAGCAUCUAAGCGCGAAGCCAACUUCAAGAUAAGAUUUCCCACCGUAAGGGUAAGACCCCAGGAAGACUACCUGGUUGAUAGGUCGAAGGUGUAAGUGCAGUAAUGUAUUUAGCUUAUCGAUACUAAUAGGUCGAGGACUUGAUCA